rnacentral:rRNA from 1 species
AUUGAACGCUGGCGGCAGGCCUAACACAUGCAAGUCGAGCGGAUGAAGGGAGCUUGCUCCUGUAUUCAGCGGCGGACGGGUGAGUAAUGCCUAGGAAUCUGCCUGGUAGUGGGGGAUAACGUCCGUAAACGGGCGCUAAUACCGCAUACGUCCUGAUGGAGAAAGUCGGGGUUCUUCGGACCUCACGCUAUCAGAUGAGCCUAGGUCGGAUUAGCUAGUUGGUGGGGUAAAGGCCUACCAAGGCGACGAUCCGUAACUGGUCUGAGAGGAUGAUCAGUCACACUGGAACUGAGACACGGUCCAGACUCCUACGGGAGGCAGCAGUGGGGAAUAUUGGACAAUGGGCGAAAGCCUGAUGCAGCCAUGCCGCGUGUGUGAAGAAGGUCUUCGGAUUGUAAAGCACUGUAAGUUGGGAGGAAGAGAAGUAAGUUAAUACCUGGAUGUUUUGACGUUACCAACAGAAUAAGCACCGGCUAACUUCGUG